GCUUUCAAGUACAUGCUAAAUUAAGAACAUUUUUGAGCUGAAGAGUUUUGAUUGUAUAUUUGCAUCAAUAGGAGUCUGAGGGUUAAUGAUUUAUUUGACAGGAUAGUGUGGGGAACAAAACACGGGCAAAUAAGUAUGAGUUUUAUACCCUAUUGCUGACUUAGACAAGAUAAUAAAUCUGCUAAACUGUUAAGUCGGUCAGUAUUUAAAAAUCUUUGUUUUUACUUUUUUUGUUUUUGCUAUCAUACUAAUUUAAAUAUUACAUUAACUGAAAGUUUUAAUACUUUGACAGAUCAGCCGAGUUGUCUUGCAAAGAGCUGCAAUACCAGUUCAAGUGGAGAUACUAAAGUGGACUCAGAUGACACAAUAAUAUUACAACACAGUCCUACAACAAGACAAAGAGUUGAAGACACCUCUCUUGCCAAAGUGGUUGCUGUCAUUGGUGAGGAUGCAUCAUCCGUUGAAGGUCGUGUGAAUGUCCUGCAUAUCCAGUACACCAAGGUGCGAGAGGAUAUACUAAAGAAGUACCCUUUCUUGAAGACAACCUCAGGGUUGUUUGAUGAUGUUGACCGAAUGCAUCCAUCACCUGUAAGUCUAAGCCAGCGCUUCAAGGACGGCGUUUACCAGUAUUGUGCCAAAGAUGCUUGAGCUUGUUCAAAGAAAAGCUCCAUUAGCCAAAGUCUCCAAAGAAGGAAGAGAAGAGAUGCUUGCAGAGGAUCUACUAGGUAUUGACAUAAACGUAAUCCUUGGUAAUCUUUAGUGUGUUUUAUAGUUCUCCUUUUUAGAAUUCGUAUCAAUAUUAUCUUAUCACAUUUAUGCAUUUUAUUAUUUAAAUUAUGCAUUUAAACUUGGUUCUAAGUUUACUUUUUUAUUAUCUAUUUUUAGAAAA